UACGUAGGGGGCAAGCGUUGUCCGGAUUUAUUGGGCGUAAAGAGCGUGUAGGCGGCCAUACAGGUCAGCUGUGAAAACUCGAGGCUCAACCUCGAGACGUCGGUUGAAACCGUAUGGCUAGAGUCCGGAAGAGGAGAGUGGAAUUCCCGGUGUAGCGGUGAAAUGCGCAGAUAUCGGGAAGAACACCCGUGGCGAAGGCGGCUCUCUGGGACGGUACUGACGCUGAGACGCGAAAGCGUGGGGAUCAAACAGG
rnacentral:rRNA from 1 species